AUGGCUGGACUGAAACUAGUUAUGAGGAUACUGAUAUAUCUCUUUCUUUAGAGGACAACGAUAGACCUGAUGGUAGGAAAAGGGGUCCUAACCACGGUGCGAAUGGUUGUCCAGAUGAAACUGGAAGAAUUCUUUUAACUGUGAGAGAUGAUAGGUAUGUAUCCUAACCUUUUUUUAGUUUGUGUUGAAUGUAAAAUGAUUUCACUGGUUUUAAAACUUACUAAAGAGGAUGUAUACUUUGCACUACUUGUGUGGUUAAUGAUUUAUGCUUAACAAUGUUAACCAUCGAAGUAAAUGAAUAUCCUUUAUGAUUUUUCAGGUUACUCUCAUACAUUUAGAAGAAAUCACCAUGUAAAAGCACAUAAUUCAGAUUUUAUCUCCUACAUUUUGACAAGUUGUAUAGAUUAGAAGGUCCGGUGUUCUAUGCAACCUUACAACCUUAUAGACAAAACUUAUGUGCUGAUAAGUUUGGAUCAGCUGCAAUAAAAAAAAGUUAUGGGAGGCUGUGAUUUAUUAAGUUUUAGAAUUUUUGCUAUUGAUUAAGUUUAGGAGAUUUAAAAUUGGAAAGAAGACAAAGCACUUUGUGCAGGAUAAAAUGUUGGUUUUGCUUUGACAUUGCAAUCAACUUGUGUGAAUUAUUCCCCCAAUUACUUUCUACUUCAAUUCAGUUUUUGAAGAUACAAAGACAAAAAAAUGCAUUCAUUUGCUUUAAAAAAAUCAGCAAGUUACAUUUUGAAGAAGGUAAAAUUGUUGUUUGCUUCAGUUUUCCUACUAUUUGCCUGAAUCCCUCACUUCUUUAAGUUCCAUGCUAUCUGGUUUAAGUUUCCUGCCUCUGUUUUCAUGCUUUUAGAUUCAUUACUAUCUCAGCAUCACGUGCUGUAAGUACUAAUUUAAAAUCUUAUUGGGGGUGGACCUUAUCCUACAUUUAGUUUGUUGCCAGUUGACACAAAAAAUUUCUUGUGGGAAAGAUUUCAGGAAGCAUAAAUUUCAUUUAAAUAUACUUGUUGUCCUCAUAAAUUUAUUGUUGCAUACUAAUGGUUGGUACAUACAUUAGCAACAAUAGUCAUAGCCAAAAAAUAAGGAGAACGAAGUGGAGAAAGCAUGGAAUACCGCCUCAAUUGAUUGGCUGCGAGAGAUAUUCUGUUUAGCUUGAACUAAGGCUAAGGAAAGUAGUGGAUCAGAAUGUAGCUAAUUGGAAGGGAUAUGGACCACCAUGGUUAAGUACAGAGCAUUGGAAUGAGAUAAUUGAUAAACAUUGGAACAAUGAAGGAUGGAAGAAGAAAUCUAAACUUGGCCGUAAUGACCGACUCACUGUAAAGUCAGGAACAAUUACUAAGCACACUGCUGGUUCAAUAACAAUUGCUGCCCACAAGUUGAGGCUGAUUCUACUGUUGAGGAGGGAAAUGGUAGAAAGGUCUUCGAACUGGUUAAAUCAGUUUCAGCUAAGCGUCUUGAUCUUUUGAGACCAUCAGCUCGAUAUUUUUCAAUGUUUAAAGUAUGAGAAAUUAGGCAAGCUACCUACUGCUGCACAAUUGUUCGAACGUGUACAUCGAUGAAAGAAGGGAGAAGGAGACUUUGUAGACAAUAAGUUACAAAUGGUCUAUGAAAAAUAUGAAAAUGCAAUUCAUGAUAAAUAUGGUUCAAAUGUUUCAUCACAACCUGAAAUUGACAUUGAAGCAUGGUGUGAAGCAAGUCAAGGUCCUAGUAAGGGUGGUCGCUUGUAUGGGCUUGGUAUUCAUCAUCGUAAAUUGCACAAAGUUGGCAUCUCCAGUUCAUACGAUGGACAAGCUGAUAUCAUUAAUUUGCAAGAGGAACUUCGUGAUGCUUGCGAGAAGAUAGAUCAACUUACAAGGGAAAAUAGUGAAUUACUUCAAAAGAAGAAGAUGGUAGCUGUGAAGAAGAGAAUAAGAGGAUUCAGUUCAAACAAACCAUACUUCGAAUGUUGGGAGAAAGGAAUGGGUCAUGAGAUUAGUCAUUCAAGCACAAUGAUCUUCAAUGGUUGGACAUAGUAAAUGUUUAUUUUGUUUAUAACAAAGUUACCACUGAAAGUGUUUGAAGAUCAUGUGUAGAUAUUUUUUGGAUUGAAUUUCGACAAACUAAUAUUGAUUUUUGAAAUGGAAGCUAAAUUAAUUUGAUU